rnacentral:lncRNA from 1 species
AAUUUAUUGUCUGUACUUUUGAAUGUGUCCCGGGUUUGUGCAGUAGAGGGAGGGGCAUCCCAGACCUGUCCUCUCUUGGAGAGCCCUUUUCUCUCGCAGGGAGGUGAGACGGUCGUCCGGGACUGAUUCUCCUCUUCCAGCUUUUGGGCGCAGCCGUGUAUGUCCUUGUGGCCUUGCUCCAUGGUGAAGGACAUGAGUGACCCCUGCUAUCUUGUGGACACUUCUCUGGGUCUCUUACUUCCACCUUUCAUGGAUGCAGCUUUGUUUCGUGCACCUUCUUCCUUGCAGAAAGCAGGUGGACAAGUGGGAAUGAAGGGUCUGGUUUGCCUUUGCUUUGACAUACUCAGCACUUUGGGAUCGCAGAACAACUCGAGGGGCUUUCCUGCUGUGAUGCCUCUGCUGCGAACACAGGAGGCAACUUGCCUAGAGAGGAGAAAGUUCUCCAGAAGGUUGUCUCUGUGACAGCCUGACUUCGUGUGCUCUGCAUCCCUUCCUCCAAGAGCUCUCCCCAUUUCCACUGCAGGAGACAGGCCUCUGAACUGAAAUGUCCAUGUUAAACACCUGACUUGUGCUAUGUGAAUUCCCUGUGUUGUGUCUGAUGUGAUGCAGCCUCAGCAGCAAUGUCUGAUUCCAGUACUCGGAGACCAUGCAGAAAUGUCCAUUCCUGAGAAAACUCGGGGUUGGGGUUAAUUCUUUUAUUAUUUUUUUUUUACGGUUUGUUUUUAUGCUUUCAGCAGGAUUACUCCUCAAAAUGACAUCUGCCUCUUGCAAGGGCAGGGUGUGUCUGCUCUUCUAGCUGUGUUUCCACACCAACGUACCUGCCUGCCCCAGUCUGUCCUGUCCUCACAAUUAAAUGCGAGUAUGGGCUAAAAAAAAAAAAAAAAAAAAAAAAAAACAACAAAACAACAAGCAAACUGAAAAACAAAAAGCCAGGACUGAGACAAAAGAAAUUAAACCCUCUUUAUUGCGAGGCUCAAUUUCCAACCUGUUCUUUUGUUUGGCGCAGUUGAAUUUGUGGGAGGGGAAGGCCGGGCACAGCAGGACUAGCCUGGCCCCCUCGCCCUGGCUCAGCAAGGGAAGCACUGCAAAGACCUGGGGAUGCUGGAGCCUGGCAGGCUCAGCCAGUGCUCUCCUGUGCCUGGAACCAAGAGGACGACAUUGAAAAUUGACUGGAAAUUAGAGGUUUAGCUUAAGUAUUGCACAAUGACAUAUCCCUGGGAUUGAACAAGAAGAUGGUGUGUUACAGCAGGCUGAACGCAGGGCACACAUUCACGGCAGGGACAUUGGCUUUAUGUUUUUUCUUUAUGUACCUGAUUAUCAAAUACCAUCUAUGUUUACAGCGCUUUAGAAAUAACAAUGUCAGCACUACACUUUCUCAAGGAGAUUACAUGCUUUCUUUCCCCAUCCCCAAGCAUAUGCUGGUAAAUUCGUGAUGCUCAGAUUUCAGCAGCCGGCACAGAGAUGGGAAUUGCUCUUCUUCCCAAGCACACAUUGUCCAUAAAAAUGUCCCCCAUAGCUCAUGUGCUCACUGACUGUAUUUCCAGGGCAAUUGUUAACAGUAACCAGCUUUGAAUGCUUGAAAGAACCAAAUUGGUAUUUAUUAUUACCGUUCUCUCUCUCUCUCUCUCUUUUUUUUUUAAAUUUCUUCUUGCCUUUACAGAGAAGCACUAACACUAAAUCUGUAGUUUUUUGUUGCAUUUCUAUAGCUCAGGAAUCGGGAUUUUUAGGAGCCAGUUCUGCUAUUAUUUGGCAUCAUAAAUGAUUUCUGGAAGGAAGAAGAAUAGCUCAUAUAAAACC